GACGAACUGUGCGAACGUUGUUCGGAAUCACUGGGCUUAAAGGGCGCGUAGGCGGAUCUUUAAGUCAGGGGUGAAAUCCCGAGGCUCAACCUCGGAACUGCCCUUGAUACUGGGGAUCUCGAGUCCGGAAGAGGUUGGUGGAACUCCGAGUGUAGAGGUGAAAUUCGUAGAUAUUCGGAAGAACACCAGUGGCGAAGGCGGCCAACUGGUCCGGCACUGACGCUGAGGUGCGAAAGCGUGGGGAGCAAACAGG
rnacentral:rRNA from 1 species